ACUACGGGAGGCUGCAGUGGGGGAUAUUGCACAAUGGGGGGAACCCUGAUGCAGCGACGCCGCGUGGGUGAAGAAGCGCCUCGGCGCGUAAAGCCCUGUCAGCAGGGAAGAAAAUGACGGUACCUGAAGAAGAAGCCCCGGCUAACUACGUGCCAGCAGCCGCGGUAAUACGUAGGGGGCAAGCGUUAUCCGGAUUUACUGGGUGUAAAGGGGGCGCAGACGGCGAUGCAAGCCAGGAGUGAAAGCCCGGGGCCCAACCCCGGGACUGCUCUUGGAACUGCGUGGCUGGAGUGCAGGAGGGGCAGGCGGAAUUCCUGGUGUAGCGGUGAAAUGCGUAGAUAUCAGGAGGAACACCGGUGGCGAAGGCGGCCUGCUGGACUGCAACUGACGUUGAGGCCCGAAAGCGUGGGGAGCAAACAGGAUUAGAUACCCCGGUAGUC
rnacentral:rRNA from 1 species